CAGCAGCUUAUACAGGAUAAAUGGAUCAGCAUCAACUCAGGACAAUGAGGUGAGUUUCUUGUUGCAUGUUCAGAAGACCAUGGACACCUCUAGAGACACCUGGGUUCUUUAUCAGAUCCAGUCAUGAAACUAAAAGCCUUCUGACUCCUGACUGCUGGUUUUAUAGCACUCUUAAUUAGUGAAUGCCCAGAGAGGCCACCUGUAGAUGGACUAGUGUCUUGACUAAAGGCAAAUCCUGGAUUCCGUCACACAUGGAAAUGACUACAUGAGCAAUCACUUUCUUCCAAAACUACAUGGCUCAAUAGAUGUGCGACAGCCAUGUUUUGUUUUUAUUCUUUUUAAAAUUCUUUAUUUUUCGUUGUGCAGAAUAGUCCAAAAAUGCCUGUAAUACCAUGACAGCAGAGGACAGGAAUUGC